UUUGUUUUCAUCACAGGCAUUUUAAGCCACCUGUUGUCCAGACCUUGUCGGCUGAAGAGCCUGUUGUGUUAAAGUUCACCGCAGAUAAGGCAUUGGUGGUUGAUAACCCUGAGAUAAAAAUAUGCUAUCCAGUAGAACUAUGCAAGUUUAGUAGUUUGUGUGCCUUUGAUAACAUGAUUUACAUUGCAGUAGGCCUAAACGUCUGAUCCGUAAAUGAGGUGGUGUCAAAGCUGGGCUGACUAUUUACUGCAUUGUUUGAGGUAAAUAUCAUUUGUCAGGUAUUUAGCAGGUAUGUUUUUGUAGUAUGUGUUAAAUAACUGAACUAAUUAAAUUCUUGUAAUUUUAGGGUUGUAUAGCCACUGCUGUUUUGCCUGCCUGAUCAACUGUUAUUUGUGCUCUUUAUUUAUUUUUAUUUUUUUUAUGUGGAAUCUUAUUUUAUUAGAUUUGUUAUAGGUGAAUGGGCCCCUGUGAAUGUUUUUGCCAACUGCUAAGGUCUGCUAAGGGUGUGGCCGUUUUCCCUGUUUUGGCUGUGUGAGUUCCCUCAGCUUGUUAGCCAUUAUUUCCCCUUCUUUUAAGUGUUGUGCCAGACAGACAGGGUGGAGGAUUUUGAGAACCCCUUUCCCCUUCACUGCAUGUGGUGGUGUGUAUGACAGCUGUGUGCGCAUGCUUAACUUAGUUUUAUUGUGUGGUGUUUGAUGUGUGUAUUCUGCUGUGUUUAGGUGGCUGCGCACUAGUGUGAGUAGCGGUGUCAAGGUGGCCCACAGCUUGAGAGAUACACACCACAACUGAUUGCCCUGUACAAGCAGAAGGCCAAGAGAGCAGACGCCCUGCAGAGAUCCUCCGGAUUUAUGACCUUCAAGAACAAUAUGAGGUACACAUGGGAUGCCACCCGACCCUCCGUGGCCUCCAAGUGAACCUGCUAGCAGAUGACUGACGUCUUCAAAACCUGCAAUCAACUGACAGGUUUAAAGAGAUGAAAGGAUAAAUAAGGAUACAUCCCUGGUCCUGGGACCCAGAACCAGGGAGCAGACCUGCUGUCGAGACGGGGGCUGAGGCCCGGGGAAUGGAGACUCCACCCCCAGGUGGUGGUUAUUAUGCGACAGGUUCGGACCCAUAACGUGGACUUGUUUGCGUCUCGAGACUUCGCACUGUCCCCUGUGGUUCUCCCUCUCGCCCCCAGCCCCGCUAGGGCUGGAUGCCAUGGUACGGACGUGGCCGAGGCUGCGCCUGUA